rnacentral:rRNA from 1 species
AAAGCGUGCGCAGGCGGUUCGGAAAGAAGGAUGUGAAAUCCCAGGGCUUAACCUUGGAACUGCAUUCUUAACUACCGGGCUAGAGUAUGUCAGAGGGAGGUGGAAUUCCGCGUGUAGCAGUGAAAUGCGUAGAUAUGCGGAGGAACACCGAUGGCGAAGGCAGCCUCCUGGGAUAAUACUGACGCUCAUGCACGAAAGCGUGGGGAGCAAACAGGAUUAGAUACCCCGGU